rnacentral:rRNA from 1 species
GAUGAACGCUGGCGGCGUGCCUAAUACAUGCAAGUCGAGCGAACGGACGAGAAACUUGCUUCUCUGAUGUUAGCGGCGGACGGGUGAGUAACACGUGGAUAACCUACCUAUAAGACUGGGAUAACUUCGGGAAACCGUAGCUAAUACCGGAUAAUAUUUUGAACCGCAUGGUUCAAAAGUGAAAGACGGUCUUGCUGUCACUUAUAGAUGGAUCCGCGCUGCAUUAGCUAGUUGGUAAGGUAACGGCUUACCAAGGCAACGACGCAUAGCCGACCUGAGAGGGUGAUCGGCCACACUGGAACUGAGACACGGUCCAGACUCCUACGGGAGGCAGCAGAAGGGAAUCUUCCGCAAUGGGCGAAAGCCUGACGGAGCAACGCCGCGUGAGUGAUGAAGGUCUUCGGAUAGUAAAACUCUGUUAUUAGGGAAGAACAUAUGUGUAAGGAACUGUGCACAUCUUGACGGUACCUAAUCAGAAAGCCACGGCUAACUACGUG